CCUAAUUUCCGCGUUACUCAACCAUGUGCAGAGGGGAAUAGCAGGUUAUGCGUCUCCAUUAGAGACUACUACCGUUACAUGUUGCAAACACGACCAGGGAUAUUCAAUCCCAUACUCUAUGGAGCACGACUACUCCAGCAAUGGGGAGUCGACAUGUACAUCAAGAUUGAGAGUUGUCGGUUGAAAUGGUACAGUAAGAACCAGAAGCAGAUUUGUGCUGACCUGUAUAAAGAAGUCGUUGAUGUGAUCACAUCCGGGGAGACGCGAGCAAGCGCUAUUGGGGUAAGGAUAGUGCUCCCUAGAACGUUCCCUGGUGGCGACCGC
rnacentral:rRNA from 1 species